UUUCUGGAUGACGAGAGAGCUAGAUGAUGAAUGACACCAGGUUCAUGGCCCUCAGUUUUUACUUGAUAUGUCUAUUGAUUGCUGCUUUGACAUCUAAUUAAAGGAUAUUAUACCAACACCAUGAAAGUCAGAUUUUUGUAAAGCUUAUUUGUUCUGAAGGGGUCAUACAAUAUCUGGAUUUUGUAAUGGCGAAGGAUCUGAUAGGAGUCACCCCACACUUCAUGCCCACAGAUGGGAGGCAUGAGGACACUCAGGAUGCAGGAAUGGUUCCAUCAGAGAGUACUGGCAAAAGAAUACAAAUUCACAUGUAUUGCGUGCACUUGCACCCAACAGUGGACAAUGGACAAUACAUCUUAAGAUUCAAUUAC